rnacentral:rRNA from 2 species
AACGGGAGCAGACACAGGGAUUGCCCUAGUAACGGCGAGUGAAGCGGCAACAGCUCAAAUUUGAAAUCUGGCUCCCUUGGGGGUCCGAGUUGUAAUUUGUAGAGGGUGCUUUGGUGUUAGCUGUGGUCUAAGUCCCUUGGAACAGGGCGUCACAGAGGGUGAGAAUCCCGUAUGUGGCCAGCAGCUUCCGCCUUGUAAAGCCCCUUCGACGAGUCGAGUUGUUUGGGAAUGCAGCUCUAAAUGGGAGGUAAAUUUCUUCUAAAGCUAAAUAUUGGCCAGAGACCGAUAGCGCACAAGUAGAGUGAUCGAAAGAUGAAAAGCACUUUGGAAAGAGAGUCAAAAAGCACGUGAAAUUGUUGAAAGGGAAGCGCUUGCAGCCAGACUUGCCCGUAGUUGCUCACCCAGGCCUUGUGUCUGGUGCACUCUUCUGCGGGCAGGCCAGCAUCAGUUCAGGCGGUCGGAUAAAGGCUCUGGGAAUGUGGCUCCUCUCGGGGAGUGUUAUAGCCCAGGGUGCAAUGCGGCCAGCUUGGACUGAGGUCCGCGCUUCUGCUAGGAUGCUGGCGUAAUGGCUGUAAGCGGCCCGUCUUGAAACACGGACCAAGGAGUCUAACAUCUAUGCGAGUGUUUGGGUGUCAAGCCCGAGCGCGCAAUGAAAGUGAACGGAGGUGGGAACCCCUUGGGGUGCACCAUCGACCGAUCCUGAUGUCUUCGGAUGGAUUUGAGUAAGAGCAUAGCUGUUGGGACCCGAAAGAUGGUGAACUAUGCCUGAAUAGGGUGAAGCCAGAGGAAACUCUGGUGGAGCUCGCAGCGGUUCUGACGUGCAAAUCGAUCAUCUUACUCUGCGCGUUAGGGGGGGAAGUGCCAGGUGGUUAUCUUAUCCAUCUGCGUUACUGAGUGUGUCCCCC